GUUAGAUAAAGGACAAUUGGUGA
rnacentral:siRNA from 1 species